UACGUCCUUAUGGCUGGUUAUGUAAAACCUGAUUAGGUACCUUCAAAUGUUUGGGAAUACUAAUUAAAAACAUCAACAUUUCACUGUUUCAUGCAUUGACUUGUAUGGAUCUUCAGUGUUUACCUGAAUUCUCACCAAAAGCUUUUUCACUUGCUUUCAGUGACUCCAGAAGAUUAAGGAAGGUGACACAAUCAUACUGAGUGAGAUACAGGAGCAAAGUACGGAGUAUCUUCAAAUCCUGGACCAAAGAUUUUGUCUUAGCUCCAAGCUGAUGCCAGAGAGGAUCUAAAUAGUGACGUAUUGUCUAGAAAUAUAAAUUGGAAAGUUCAGGAUGUCAAAUAUAUAGUACACUAACCAUGCUAAAAAUGCACUUUUUUUUUCCUUUAUAGGGGAUGCCACUAGUUUCCUGAAGUUAUUAAGGAUACCAAAUUAAAGACCUGAUGAGAACAUGCAAUUUUAAUACUGCCUUAAGAACAGAGAAUUGGGAAGAGUUCAUCUUCUGGUGCCCUCAUCUGCUAUCAGACAACUACAGCAGCCCAAAGCGAGCGAGCUGCGCAGAUUUGUUGUGAGAGGAAGUGUCUGACUCUGGAGCUGCACAGAUGGAACGGUGCUGCUUUCACAGGGGAUGUGCUACUCAAAUUUCAGAGGAACAGCAUGGAAAACAUCUUAUCUUGCUGGAGUCCUGCUGCCAGCUGAGGAGUGUGACUGGAGCUCUGAAAACUGCAGUGGCACUGAGGUGUGUGCUGGGGCAACAGCAGGGGAUUC